rnacentral:rRNA from 1 species
GUGGGGAAUAUUGGACAAUGGGCGCAAGCCUGAUCCAGCCAUGCCGCGUGAGUGAUGAAGGCCCUAGGGUUGUAAAGCUCUUUCACCGGUGAAGAUAAUGACGGUAACCGGAGAAGAAGCCCCGGCUAACUUCGUGCCAGCAGCCGCGGUAAUACGAAGGGGGCUAGCGUUGUUCGGAAUUACUGGGCGUAAAGCGCACGUAGGCGGGUAUUUAAGUCAGGGGUGAAAUCCCAGAGCUCAACUCUGGAACUGCCUUUGAUACUGGGUACCUAGAGUAUGGAAGAGGUAAGUGGAAUUCCGAGUGUAGAGGUGAAAUUCGUAGAUAUUCGGAGGAACACCAGUGGCGAAGGCGGCUUACUGGUCCAUUACUGACGCUGAGGUGCGAAAGCGUGGGGAGCAAACAGGAUUAGAUACCCGGGUAGUCC